rnacentral:rRNA from 1 species
CAAUACUUCGCCGGCGACCGGCGCACGGGUGAGUAACACGUGUGCAACCAACCCCGUACCGGGAGAUAACCCGCGGAAACGUGGACUAACAUCCCAUAAUACUGGAGGAUCGCAUGAUCUUUCAUUUAAAAUUCCGGUGGUACGGGACGGGCACGCGCGACAUUAGGUAGUUGGCGGGGUAACGGCCCACCAAGCCGACGAUGUCUAGGGGUUCUGAGAGGAAGGUCCCCCACACUGGAACUGAGACACGGUCCAG